GACGAACGCUGGCGGCGUGCUUAACACAUGCAAGUCGAGCGGUAAGGCCCUUUCGGGGGUACACGAGCGGCGAACGGGUGAGUAACACGUGGGUGACCUGCCCUCAGCUCUGGGAUAAGCCUGGGAAACUGGGUCUAAUACUGGAUAUGACUCCACGGUGCAUGUCGUGGGGUGGAAAGCCUUGUGCGGCUGAGGAUGGGCCCGCGGCCUAUCAGCUUGUUGGUGGGGUGAUGGCCUACCAAGGCGACGACGGGUAGCCGGCCUGAGAGGGCGACCGGCCACACUGGGACUGAGACACGGCCCAGACUCCUACGGGAGGCAGCAGUGGGGAAUCUUGCGCAAUGGGCGAAAGCCUGACGCAGCGACGCCGC
rnacentral:rRNA from 1 species